rnacentral:lncRNA from 1 species
AAUCAUCUCUCUUUUAGGAAGUGCUAAGAUUUACCAUUUUUCGACGUGAAGCAAUGUAGAAUUCUACCCAUUGUUUUCGUUCUCAAAGUUGGUCUAAGAUCCUUGUAAAUCUUUCAUGGGCCAUCAAGAUUUCUUAAAGUGAUGCUCAAAAUCAAAUCACUAAGUGCUACUGCUCAGGACAAGAUCAAAGAUUAAAUAUCCACCAUGCAUGUCGCGGACAUGAGCAGAAAGUGACUAGUGUAUUGCCCCUC